CACGGGGGGAACGCGAAGAACUUACCUGGGUUUGACAUAUACCGGAAAGCCGUAGAGAUACGGCCCCCCUUGUGGUCGGUAUACAGGUGGUGCAUGGCUGUCGUCAGCUCGUGUCGUGAGAUGUUGGGUUAGGUCCCGCAACGAGCGCAACCCUUGUCUUAUGUUGCCAGCACGUAAUGGUGGGGACUCGUAAGAGACUGCCGGGGUCAACUCGGAGGAAGGUGGGGACGACGCCAAGUCAUCAUGCCCCUUAUGUCCAGGGCUUCACACAUGCUACAAUGGCCGGUACAGAGGGCUGCGAUACCGUGAGGUGGAGCGAAUCCCUUAAAGCCGGUCUCAGUUCGGAUCGGGGUCUGCAACUCGACCCCGUGAAGUCGGAGUCGCUAGUAAUCGCAGAUCAGCAACGCUGCGGUGAAUACGCUCCCGGGCCUUGUACACACCGAAUCACUAGUGAAUUC
rnacentral:rRNA from 1 species